ACGUAUCUCUGACGGCGAGGGCGAGCCCCGCUCCGGACCGAAAGGCCCGUCGAGCGGGCGACCCCGAGUCGCUCAACCUUUGCAAACCCACCGUGCACUCUUGUCGGCGGUAGGGGCUUCGCGGCCCCGACGCCGGUUCACAAACACCGAAACUUUGAAGAAUGUCUAGCGGACUCUGUUCCGCCUAAAUAUUUAA
rnacentral:misc_RNA from 1 species